rnacentral:rRNA from 1 species
CCUACGGGAGGCUGCAGUGAGGAAUAUUGGUCAAUGGGCGAGAGCCUGAACCAGCCAAGUCGCGUGAGGGAGUACUGCCCUAUGGGUUGUAAACCUCUUUUGUCGGGGAGCAAAAGCCGGACGUGUCCGGCUGUGAGAGUACCCGAAGAAAAAGCAUCGGCUAACUCCGUGCCAGCAGCCGCGGUAAUACGGGGGAUGCGAGCGUUAUCCGGAUUUAUUGGGGUUAAGGGGUGCGCAGGCGGAUUUUUAAGUCAGCGGUCAAAUCGUGGGGCUCAACCCCAUCCAGCCGUUGAAACUGGGGAUCUAGAGUGUGCGAGAGGUAUGCGGAAUGCGUGGUGUAGCGGUGAAAUGCAUAGAUAUCACGCAGAACCCCGAUUGCGAAGGCAGCAUACCGGUGCACAACUGACGCGCAGGCACGAAAGCGUGGGUAUCGAACAGGAUUAGAUACCCGUGUAGUC